AGCGAACGUUAGCGGCGGGCCUAACACAUGCAAGUCGAACGAGAACGGGGCUUCGGCCCUUAGUACAGUGGCGGACGGGUGCGUAACACGUGGGUAAUCUACUUCUUGGCGGGGGACAACCUUCCGAAAGGAGGGCUAAUACCGCAUAAGUCUGCGGGGUCUUCGGAUCCUGCAGGGAAAGGCGGCUUCGGCUGUCACCGAGAAAUGAACCCGCGUCCCAUCAGCUAGCUGGUGAGGUAACGGCUCACCAAGGCUCAGACGGGUAGCUGGUCUGAGAGGAUGAUCAGCCACACUGGAACUGCGACACGGUCCAGACUCCUACGGGAGGCAGCAGUGGGGAAUAUUGGGCAAUGGGCGAAAGCCUGACCCAGCCACGCCGCGUGAGUGAUGAAGGCCUUCGGGUCGUAAAGCUCUGUGGGGAGGGAAGAAAAGCUACGGGCUAAUACCCCGGAGUCUUGACGGUACCUCCUUAGCAAGCACCGGCUAACCCUGUGCCAGCCGCCGCCGUAAUAC
rnacentral:rRNA from 1 species